AGCCAGUGAAAUCGGUGCGAGUGUCUUCGCCUCUGAGAGAGAUACUAUGAGAUCUCAAGCCUCGGAGGCGUAGAUACUCACACCUCUUUUUCUGGCU
rnacentral:pre_miRNA from 1 species